GUUUUUUGUUGCAUUAUUUGUGUUUGAUUCAUUGUUGUGUUGAUUGAGGAUAGUUGUUGGUUGGUUUGAUUGCAACUGUGUAUAUGCUUGUCCAGGCACCUAUAGAGUGAUGAAUCUGGAAUCUGGUCCCUGACACAAUAUUGCAUUAGGGUUUGAUUCUUGUGGUCAAGUUUUUUUGAUUUUUGACUUACCCAGUAUGUUGGGAGGGUUGAGAAGGUUGAUAGGCGGUGAAAGAAGAGUGGGUGCUGGUGGUGAUCGUACAAUUCACGAUUGAGAAUUUGAUUCAGUAUGACGCAAUUAGUCCGUCCAUUGCAGUGGCUGGCUUACAUCCUAUUAAUUAUGCGUGUCUAUCUUAUCACGAGUAAAAAGGUGGUGGAGCAAUACAAGUUGGGAUAAGAAGUUACCCUUUGCUCGUGCAGAUUGGUGGAGUGUUUUAUGUGGACAUAACUAGUUUCGAAGCAUGGACAUACUCAAGGUCCGGCUCUUGCUUCUAAGGCGUUUCGUCUUCAAUUUCGGUCAAUUACUCCUGGUGUUAUAAAUGGAACGCAUGUAUUUUUUAUUCCUAUGUGCAAAAAAGUGACUCAUCUUUAAAUUGUGUUAAUCUAGAUGUUAUAGGUGGCACAAUGGGCAGACCUGGUAACGGGUCAAAAUGGGUUCCGAGUGGCAAGAGGUGUACAAUAAAAGCCGGUUUUAGGGCCAAAACCAAAACCGGUUAUGCCAGUUUGGUUUCCCAUCCUGAAAACCGGUUAAAAAACCAAACCGAUUUUUUUAAAACCGGUUUUUUUUCCCGCACAACAAUAACAUGUUCGGUUAAAAACCGACCGGUUAGAAAAAAACCGAUUUGUAGACUUCUCUACGGGUGGCCUGCAAACACUUUUAUGUCUAUUUUCUUAAAAAGUGUAAUAACUAACUAAUGCGUUUUUAAAACUAGAAAACAAUUUGAUAAUAAUUAUUAUAAAUUGAAUAUAUAUAUUUCUUAUAUCAGUUAAAAAUUGUAUAAAUAAUGGGCUCGUUUAGGCUCCUGUGCAGGUUUAGGCUUCACAAGUCAAGCUUGAGCUCGUUUAAGCUCGGCUCGUUUCAAGCUCUUUUUCGAGUCGAUCUUGAGUAGCUCAGCUCAUUUACAUCUCUAUCGACCACCCAUUAUUCCUCACGAUCCUUAUAAUUUUCUGUUAACUUAAUAUAUUAGUGGACUGGGAAAAACAUCAUGUCCAUGACACUAAUAUGGUGAGGCGAUUCUAAUUGCUUUUGAAGAAUGCCAAGCUUCAUCAGCUCAUUAUAGAACAUAAAAACAAAUAUUUAUGUGUAUGAUCCUCAACAGGAGUGGCUUUAUUUUCACUUGAAAGCUUAUCCCUUUUUACUCUUAGCUUGCCUUUUCUUCUCGGUUUUCUUUUUGUUCACUUUUUCUAUUUUGCAGAUUGAGCCAAUCCCAAGCAGAAAUCUGCCUCCUAGGUUUGAACCAAAUACAUCUCGCAGUGUGAUUGGCUUACAUAUGAUUUUUUAGUUUGUAAUUCUCCUUUUCAUAUGCAUGUUCAAGCAUGACGAAUGCCUUAGUAUGUCCCUGGUAACCAAGUAAGUGUUUUUAUAAUUUGCUAUAUCUUACCAAUUUGUUUUUCUCGUCCCCCAAUACACACAGUAUUGUACUGAGGUUUAUAGUUGUGAUAUGCAAAAGUGUUAAAUGUAGGAUGGCUCUAUGUUUUAUGUCUACUGGAAAUUGUGUAUUAUUCUGUAGCUAAAUGUGUUUUCUUUUUAAUUUCUACUUUUGUUUUUGAGAAAAUGCUGGUACGUUGGGAACAUCCAUAUACAGAUGACGGGACAAUUUCUUCAGGGGGUUUUUGCAAGCUAAAGUUGUGAAAAGCAGUCGUUUGAAACUCAUUAAAUGAAUAAAGAGGAUCAUGAAAGAAAAAAAGUUGACCUUGAAGCUAUACGACAGGAUAUUGAUAUCCAGCGAUAAGACUUGGAAGAUUUGUGUGGAAUGUUAUGAAACAACUACAAGUUGAAGAUCAAGAUGCCUAGAAUGUUUUAGUUACUCUUUAUUAUUGUAAUUGACACUUUGGUAUUGACUUUUUUUUGUUAUUUGAGUUUGUAAAAGUAUGUUAAGGUACACUAUUUGACUAGCAAUGAUAUUUGUGUUAAUAUUGUU
rnacentral:lncRNA from 1 species